rnacentral:rRNA from 1 species
GAGCGAGAAAAGGGUAGCAAUACCUGAGUACAGCGGCGCACGGGUGAGUAACACGUGGGUAAUCUGCCCUAGAGUGGGGAAUAACACCGGGAAACCGGUGCUAAUACCGCAUACGAUCACGAUGUCUUCGGAUGUUGUGAUGAAAGGAGCAAUUCGCUCUUGGAGGAGCCCGCGGCUGAUUAGCUAGUUGGUGAGGUAAUGGCUCACCAAGGCAACGAUCAGUAGCCGGUCUGAGAGGACGGUCGGCCACACUGGAACUGAGACACGGUCCAGACUCCUACGGGAGGCAGCAGUGGGGAAUAUUGGACAAUGGGCGCAAGCCUGAUCCAGCCAUGCCGCGUGGGUGAUGAAGGCCCUAGGGUUGUAAAGCCCUUUCGGCGGGGAAGAUAAUGACGGUACCCGCAGAAGAAGCCCCGGCUAACUUCGUG